CUCAAAAAGUCACAUAAAAAAAAAUAAAUAAAUAAUUGACCGCGUAGUUUUUGAGUUAUGGCCAUAGCAACACCAUAGCAACGAGGGACGCGCCGUCCUGCUGACCCCUACCUCAUGACAUAACUUCCAGGAAGCCUCGCCACCACUCUGAACGCGGAAAUAUAGCACCACGCUAUCCUCGCCAUAUAUUGCAUACAUUUUCUGGGUUUUACUCGCGGGAUUCGUCAUGCCAUCUCGAUGUGUAGCGAUGAAUUACUCACAGGAAGAUUCGAGACUCUAGGAGUGGUCCCAAAAAAACUUCUCCUGCAAAGCCACGACAGCUUUGAAAACCUACAACAAUGCAACCUUGGUUUUGCAAAGACGAAGCCAAACAUAAAAAAUUAAGUGGCGGAAACCCUCAACACGAUGAAAAAAGCGUUGCAAGUCAGUUGCCACCCAGUUUCCCAAAAUCAAGAGAGAGUGGGUCGAGUGAUAUGAUGACCGAAGUGAUGCGGUAUCCAGCGAUGACGACUGAAGAGAUCCUAUGAGGCCUGCCAGAUGCUGAAUUUCUUCCGUCUGCGACAUCAGAUGACGAUGAUUUAGGAGAAAUAAAUGUAGCAAAUUUUGAUGACAUGAAAUCAUAAACUAGUCAUAUAUACAGUACACAUUUUUUAAAAGAAAAAUCAAGUUAACUUCAUAUUUUAAUGAUAAUGCAUUAUCUUUGUAUAGAGAACACUUCAUGCUACAGAAAAGAGUAAAUACAUAUACAUAAAUCUGGUAUCAUUUAUUAUUGUGGCCUAUUAAAUAUUUUUUCAGAAUGUAAUAUAAUUACAAUAUAUUAUAUACCAAUAGAAUACAUUAAACAGUCAACAAAAUGUGUCAAUGUUGUUAACAAUUUAUGGUUUUAUUUUUUUAAUGUAAUUCAUGCCCCUGUCAGUGCUUCAGCCUCCUCAAGUUUGGCUCUCACGUCUGGGAUCUCCUGAUGACACAGGCAUACUCUUGGAAGGGUACAGCAACACCUGGAAAAUAAAAUGGUUUUGUCAUUUAUUUUGAAAUAUCAAUAACAUAUUCAUUUAGCCACAUUUGGGCUAGCUUUAUCAUAUUUGGAUCGGUAGGAUCUGUCCCAUUACCUAAUAUCCAGUUUUAGCUAUGUGUAGAGCAUUCAUUUAGCCACAUUUGGGCUAGCUUUAUCAUAUUUAGAUCGGUAGGAGCUGUCCCAUUACCUAAUAUCCAGUUUUAGCUAUGUGUAGAGCAUUCAUUUAGCCACAUUUGGGCUAGCUUUAUCAUAUUUAGAUCGGUAGGAGCUGUCCCAUUACCUAAUAUCCAGUUUUAGCUAUGUGUAGAGCAUGGAAAAAAUAUACAACCAUGUAAUCGCAUUCUGAUAAAAAAAUCACGAUGCUGGACUUACCACUCACUCUCCUGUUCGUGAAGUGUCGAGCUUUCAAUUGGCGUCAUGACGCCAUCUGCUGUGUCAAGUAAAUCGCUGUCAUCUGACGCCUCAGGAAAGAGUGAUCCUGAAUGGUUACCUUUGGUGGAAAUAUCACUGACAUCGUUGUUGCUGCUGUACUAGCUGUGGGUAGUCUUCUGUUGCCUACGUCACACUUCCGGGUUUGCGAAGGGACCAUUAACGGAGUGCAAAAAAACUAAAAAAACGCAAAUUAUCCUUACAAUUACGUGUUGAUAAUGUCAUGGUUGUUUUGAUGAACUUGUCCCAAGUUUAUAUUCAUAAAAUUACACCAAAAUCCGGAAAGGUCUUCAGUUGCCCUUUA